AGCAGCCGCGGUAAUUCCAGCUCCAAUAGCGUAUAUUAAAGUUGUUGCAGUUAAAAGCUCGUAGUUGAAUUUCGGGAUCAAUAUGUCGGUCGUGCCUUCGGUACGUACUGGUAUCAUUGGUCUCUCCUUUCUGACGAACCAUGAUGUCAUUAAUUUGGUGUUAUGGGGAGUUAGGACUGUUACUUUGAAAAAUUAGAGUGUUUAAAGCAGGCUUUAGCUUGAAUACAUUAGCAUGGAAUAAUGAAAUAGGACGUUCGAACCUAUUUUGUUGGUUUCUAGGAUCAACGUAAUGAUUAAUAGGGAUAGUUGGGGGCAUUAGUAUUCAAUUGUCAGAGGUGAAAUUCUUGGAUUUAUUGAAGACUAACUACUGCGAAAGCAUUUGCCAAGGAUGUUUUCAUUAAUCAAGAACGAAAGUUAGGGAUCGAAGACGAUCAGAUACCGUCGUAGUCUUAACCAUAAACUAUGCCGACUAGGGAUCGGAUGAUGUUUAAUUUUUUAAUGUACUCUAUUCGGCGCCUUU
rnacentral:misc_RNA from 1 species